GUUUUACUAAGAAAUGAUAACAAACACAAACAAUUUAUUCAAACAAAUGCCCAGACCACAAUGAUAGUUUAAUAGCCCCUGUGAAACUGGCUCCAUGCUGAGCCCUUUCGUGUUACUUUGAUUGAUUCUGAAGAUACUAGCUUUUGUCCAGCCAAAGUGUUUUAUCAGGCUGAUAGAAAUCGCAGGUAUUUGUAUGAGGUGCUUUUUGGGUGAAGGGAGGCAUCUCUACAUAUCACACCUGACUUCUACUGAUCUCAAGGAGUACUUGAGAACUCUGGAGCACCCAUUACCUAUGCACCAAGAAAACAUCCUAUCUUUGCAGCUUUGGAGGAGGCUCAGGACUUGCAGCCAGAGGCUGUGUGGGGAUGAUGCUCAGGAUGCAGACUGUGAGCAGUCGCACCCGGAGGGGACACAUCUGGCAGUGCUCUUCACAGGGGAACUCAUCCACCGAACAGACUCUGCUGGCCUGGGUGUUUGCAGCGCCCAGGUAAUGAAAACUUCUAGCAGAGAGAAAUGCAAUCUCUUGUUAAGCCAUCAAAGCAACUAUCAGUCUGUAGUCUUCAUUUCUUUGACCAGUGAAGUGUGCGUGUAUAUUUGUGUGCACAUUUGAGUCUUCCUGUGAAAUGAAUGAACAAAAUGGAGCCUCUCUCUCUUUUUAUGCCCUUGCUUUCUUAGCUCCUUUUGCUAGUCAAGCAGGAUGUAGGUGGGUUUCCAAGGGAGCUUUUGUUUCAGAAAACUGGUUCAAGACCCACUCCUAGUCUACAAAGGAGUAGGUGGCACUCUCGGCUUGCUUUCUGGUGCACUGGCUAUCACUGCAGUCCUUGAAGAUGCUGAUUUAAGAAAAAGCUAAUGUAUUCUUUGCAAGUCUCAGUACCUGUGGCUUCUUUACAGCAUCUCCACUUUGCUUUGCUCCUUCUGUUUAUUUAUUUAUUUAUUUUGAGGC
rnacentral:lncRNA from 1 species